UGAAAUAAAGAAGACAAAUGCCCUGAAAGGAAAUGAAGAAGAGUAGAGGAUGAGAGAGAAGGAAAGGAGAAGCGAUAACCAAGGAAUCUCCAUUAUUACGGCUUGAGAAUGAGGCAUAUCAAAUUUGCCUCUCAUUUUUACAAAAUCUUGUGCAAGAUAAACCUACAGGUUUUGAAGAUUCUGAAGUGGAAACUUACCUCGUCAACCUUUGCAGCCAGGUCUUACACUUUGGCAAUUUGGUGUGGCGUCUCAUGCUCAUAAGAUAAACAGUGACGCAACACUGCGGUCAAAGCUUCUAGAGUUCAGUUCCAUGACCCAAAUGCAGGACCCUCCAUUAUUACGGCUUGAGAAUGAGGCAUAUCAAAUUUGCCUCUCAUUUUUACAAAAUCUUGUGCAAGAUAAACCUACUGGUUUUGAAGAUUCUGAAGUGAAAACUUACCUCGUCAACCUUUGCAACGAGGUCUUCCACUUCUAUAUUGAAACUGCACAUUCAAGACAAAUAUCUGGGUCAUCUCUUGGUGCACAGCUUCAUUGGUUAAUCCCCCUUGGCUCUGGUAGGAUGAGAGAGUUGGCUGCACGUGCACCUCUUAUCAUUGCAGCUCUCCAGGCAAUAUGUAGUUUAGGAGAUGCAUCAUUUGAGAAAAACUUGUCUUGCUUCUUCUCAUUACUUUCAAGCUUGAUAAGUUGUGAGCAUGGCUCAAAUGACAUUUAGUUAGCCCUGAGUGAUAUGCUCAGCUCAUCCGUAGGUCCUGUUUUGCUUCGAUCGUGUUCAGCUUAAGGAACUCAUAUGUUUUUUCUUCUUCGGUAUAUGGUAAUGUUUCUUGUAUUUUUGCAAUUUUUGCUAUGAUCUAAUAUUGCAGAAAGAUAGUUAUGGUGCUUCAAAAACUAGUGAUUCUUUAUCUACCCAGGCAUUUAGAACCUUCUGCACUGAGGAGC
rnacentral:lncRNA from 1 species